rnacentral:rRNA from 1 species
GAAAAUGUAAAGGGGAUAAACAUAAAACAGAAGAAGUGGAUUGUAAUAUGGAAAAUGGUAGGAGAGAGUUGUAAGGGAGGUGAAGCAUGAUAGAAAGGAAAAGUGGAGCGAUUAGAAGUGAGAAUGAAGGUGUGAGUAGCGAAAGACGGGUGAGAAAACCGUAAAACGAUAGACUAAGGUUUACAGAGGAAGGCUCGUACGCUCUGGGUUAGUAGGGUCCUAAGCUGAGGCCGACAGGCGUAGGCGAUGGAUAA